GUGUUGUGUGUAGGUUCUCCGUGGCGGACAGGGGUACGAGUGGGCCCCGCUUUCGGCGCUGGUACCAGGAGCUCUGAGAGGAACGUGGGCGAGCUCGGAAGCUGCGCCAUGGAUCUCGGGUUUCCCAGGUUGGCCUCAAACUUUCUCUUAGCUGAGGAGGACCUUGAACUUCUGAUCCCGCUACCCAAACCCACCUCCAGAGUGCUGGGAUUAAGGGAGUUUUUGGCCUUUGAGGAUGUGGCUGUGGAGUUCAGCCAGGAAGAAUGGGUUUUGCUGGAUCCUUCUCAGAAGAAACUAUACAGAGAUGUGAUGCUGGAAACCUGCAAUAACCUUUCUUCAAUAGGCAUCAAAUGGGAAGACAAGAACAUUGACGAGCAGUACAAACACUCUUGGAGAUUCCUAAGAAGUUGCAUGAUAGAUGCAAUUUAUGAGCACAGAGAAGGUGGUCAGUUUCAAGAAACCUUUACCUGGAUACCAGAUUUCCGUAGGAGUACUGACAUUUCUACUGAAGUAAAACCAUUUGAAUGUGGUGUGUGUGGAAAAGUUUUCACGUGUCAUUCAUCCUUUAAUGAGCACAUCAUGUCUCACUUAGGGGACAAACCAUCUGAACACAAACAUGGUUCAUGUGGAAUACAGCAACAAAGUCAGAGUGUUGAAAAAUCCUAUAAACAGUGUGGAAUGGCCUUUGCUUGCCACUGUUCGCUUUCUAUAGAUGGAAGAACCAACAGUAAAGAUAAAUGUUACAAAUGUGAACAAUCUAGUAAAGCUCUGAGUUCUUCCAGUUCCCUCCAGAGUCAUAAAACAGUUUAUGCUGCAGGAAGAACCUAUGAGUGUGAAGAGUGUGGAAAAUCCUUUAGACAUGAGAGUUCCUUUUUAUUACACCAAUUAACUCACAUUGGAAGGAAAUCCUAUGAAUGUAAACAAUGCGGGAAGGCCUUCAGGUGUCACAGUUAUCUUCAGUUACAUGAAAACUUUCAUAUUGAAGAAAACCCCUACGAAUGUAAACAGUGUGGAAAAACCCUCUGUUCUCCCAGUUCCCUUCGAGUUCAUGAAAGGAUUCACAAUGGAGAAAAACUUUAUGCAUGCAAGCGGUGUGAUAAAACUUUCAAAUGUCAAAGUUACCUUCGAAUACAUGAAAGAACUCACACAGGAGAAAGGUGCUAUGAUUGUGAACAAUGUGGUAAAGCUUUCAGAAGUCACUGUUCCCUUCAGAGACAUAAAAUAGCUCAUCCUAGGAAAAAAGCCUACGUGUGUAAACAAUGUGGUAAGUCCUUCGCUUAUCCAUAUUUACUUCAAACACAUGAGAGAUUUCACACCAGAGAAAAAACGUAUAAAUGUCGGAUCUGUAGUAAAGCCUUUCUUUGUUCCCCCUUUCUUCAGAGACACAAAAGAACGCACACUUGGGGGAAACCGUAUAAAUGUAAACAGUGUGGUAGAGCCUUCAGAAGCCACAGUUCCCUUCGACUGCAUGCAAGGGGUCACACAGUAGAAGAAUCUUACACAUGUAGGGUCUGUAGUAAAGCCUUUCUAUGUCCUCCUUUCCUUCAGAGGCAUGAAAAAACUCACGCUGAGGAAAAGCCCUUUGAAUGUAAGCAAUGUAGUAAAAUCUUCAGAGAUUGGAGUACCUUCCAAGUGCAUGAAAGAUCUCACACUCUAGAAAAGCCCUAUGCAUGUAAGCUAUGUAGUAAAGCCUUUUUUUAUUCCUCUUCCCUGGAAAGACAUAAAAAGAUUCACACUAGAAAGAAAUGCUAUCCAUGUAAAUCCGCAUGCGAACAGUGUGGUCAGUCCUUUAUUUUUCCCUGUUUACUUGAGAAGCAUUUAAGAACUCACACUGAUGAAAAACCCUAUGAAUGUAAACAGUGUGGUAAAACAUUUAGGAGUCUCACUUAUGCUCGCAUACAUAAAAGAACUCACACCGAAGAAAGACAGUAUGUAUGUAAACACUGUGGUAAAAGUCUCAGUUGUCCUAGUACUCUUCAGUUACAUGAACUAACUCAUACUGGAGAAAAACUCUAUGCAUGUCAACAAUUUGAUAAAACUGUCAGAAGAUUCAGUUAUUUUCAAAUACCUGAAAGGGCUCGUACUGAAGAAAAAGCUUACAAAUGUAAGCAAUGUGGUGCAAUAUUCAGUUGUUCAAAUACCCUUCAGCUACAUGAAAGAAUCCAUACAGGAGAAAAAUCCCAUGAAUGUAAACAAUGUGGUAAAGCCUUCACAGUCCUCAGCAAUCUUCAAGUACAUGAACUAUCUCACACUCAUGAAAAAUCCUAUGGAUGCAAUCAACAUGGUAAUGUUUUCAGUCUUAGUAAUCUUAUACAGGAAAGAAAGAAAGCUGAAGCAAAUCUCUGUGAAUGUAAACAGUGUGGUAAAUCUUUUGUGUCUCGAUAUUUACUUCAAAUGCAUGAAAGGUCUCAUUCUGCAGAGAAGCGCUAUGACUGUAAGGUAUGUGGUAAAAGCUUCAUUUAUCCCUCAUUUCUUCAAAGACAUGAAAGAACGCAUACUGGAGAGAAACCUUAUGAGUGCAAACAAUGUGGUAAGGCCUUCAGAGUUCAGAGCUCCCUUCGAUUACAUGAAAGAACUCAUUCUGAGGAAAAACCUUAUGAAUGUAAAGACUGUGGUAAAGCCUUCUGGCGGCUCCCUUCUCUUCAAGUACAUGAAAGAAUCCAUACAGGAGAAAAGCCCUUUGAGUGUAAACAAUGUGAUAAAACCUUCAGGUGUCACAGUUCCCUUCAAAGACAUGAAAGAACUCAUAGUCACGAAAAACCAUAUGAAUGUACACAGUGUGGUAAGGGCUUUAGAUGUCACCGGUCCCUUCAAAGACAUGGAAAAACUCACGCUGAAGAAAAAGCCUAGGAAUCUGGACAGUGAGCAAAAAUUUUUAGGCUUUCCAGUUUCUUUUUAAUGUUUGAAAGUAACUCCUGGGAAGAAGUUCUGGUGCUAUAAAACAAGUGGUGGUGGUGGUUUUAAUCGUAGACUUACUGAAGAAAGACCUAUCAGUAAUAAUCAGUGACUUAAGAUGUUCAGUUCCAAACCUGAUAUGGUGGUGAAUGCCUUUAAUCCUAGCACUGGGGAGGCAAAAGUAGGCAGAUCUCUUGUUCAGGGCCAGCCUCCUCUGCAAAGCAAGGUACAGGACAACCAGGGCUGCACAGAGAAACCCUGUCUCAAAAAACAAAAGAUGUUCAUUUCUGUUUGAAGCCUUGAACAUCUCUGGUGGAAUACCUUUGGAAUGUAUAUAAUACGAGGAUAACUAAUUUUCCAUAUAUCCUCUUGAAUACUCACAUGAUAAUGCAAAUAGAGGUAGCUCUUAUAAGAAUAAGUGUCAGACUGAAAAUAGUUUGGAAAGUAAAGUUUGUAAAACUUACCUACACUGAAAGUCAUGAAGAAGACGAUUGGAAGUAAACCAUGUGUAUUUUGCAAUCCUCAUGCAAAUUUACCUGUAAUGCUCAGAUUUUUAUGAGUGUAUUCUUGUAAGGUUAGGGAUAUGUUGUGUUUGAUUUGCAAUUACUGGUUACCAUAGAAGGGGUGGUGGUGCAGCCCUCUAGUGCUAGCUACUCAGAUAGCUGGUGGAAGAGAAUUUCAAGCUCAGGACCUGCCCAAGCAAUGAAAGCCCCAUUUUGCAAUCAAAAGUUGAAGAGUACGGGGUAUGUUGCUAAGUAGGUAGAAUACUUAGCUAGCAAGCAUGAGACUGUAAAUUCAAUCCCCAGUACUCUUACUAAAAGAAUAAAAAUCCCAAGAGAAUGAGUUGCCAUUUCUUUCAGAGAUGCAUACAUUAGAAUGAAAGUUGUUAAGUAUUCAACAAUAGAGAUAGUAUGUGAUAGAUAUGUUGCUGGACAAUUUUAUAACUGUAGAUCAUUGUGUCUUCUGUUACUUUUCCUGGUGCUGUGAUAAAAUGUUCCAACAAAAACAAGUUAGGAAGGGUUUCCUUUGUCACAGUUUGACAUGGCACAGAAGUUAGAGCAGGAGUAACAUGUGACAGCUUGCCACAUUGCACCUGUAGUCAAGAAACAGUGAUGAGUGGCCAUGAUUGCCUACCUUUCUCUCUGUUAUACGGUCUGGAACCCAAACCUAGGGAAUAAUGCCACCACCUUCACAAUGGGUCUUCCUGUCUCAGUUUAAAUCCCUUACAGGCAAACCUUGAGGCUCAUCUUCCAGGGGAUUGUAGAUCUAAAGAUGAUAUCAACUAACACAAAUAUAUUACAUACUGCCCCAAACACGGGCAGUAUGUUGAUUUAAUGCUCAUUCUAGGCAAGGAUAACUACUUAUUUAGGAAACUGAAAAUAUUUGAUGUGAAUAUAUGAAAGGAUAAUGGCAUAAAGAUAAGUGCUACACACUUAAUGAAGGCCCCAUAUUUUAAGUGGAGUCUUCUGGACUAGCUGUUCCUCUUCCUUGUCAGUGAGUUAUUUAGUCAAUGUCAAGAACAUUGCUGUAUACUAAGAUUAUUACUAGUAACUUUAUAAACACUUUAGACUUAGAUUUUAUUGUCUGUAAAUUUUCUUUAGUAGAUUAGUUCAAAACUUUUUCACUUUGCAAAAUUAAAAAAAUUUUAUACUUUUCUAGACACUCAUUAUUGUGCAAGUAAGAAUUUCGUAUACCUUGGACUAUACUAUGUUAGAAAGCUUGAUUUGUAAAAUUUUCUAACUUACCAAAAUGUAUUUUAGAAAGUUUUUUAAGUGAAUUUUUAGUUUAGGAUUAUUUGGUUUGGGAUUAUACAAUAGUUUCUAAAAUGGUUCUAAAUGUACUUUUGCCAUUUUGUACUAAUUUAUAUGACGGGCACUCAGCAUUCAUGAUUCAACUCUGGACAACUUGGCUUUCUAUAUUUUGCAUUCUAAAAUAUUAAGCCAAGGUUUUUUUUGAGACAAGGUUGCUCUGACCUAGAACUCAGUAUGUAGACCAGGCUGACCUUGAAUUCAGAGAUUCACCUGCAUUGGCCUCCUGAGUUGCUAGGAUUAAAGGCAAAUGCCACAUUCAGGUAAGAUUUGUAUGUAAAAUUAAGCCUCUCAUCUCAUUAGUUUGAAAAUUUGCUUUAACCUUUAAUAAAUAGUAAAAUUAUAUUUACUAAAGAAUUUUUAAAAUAGGUUUAUUUUUAAGAAUGUUUUAUCUUACAGUCGUCUUGUGUGGUGUGUGUAUAAAGAGAAGCCGUAUAGCCAGAAGCUGAUUCAUGCAGUGGGAAGAGUGGCCAAAUAAAAUUUUGCUUCUGUCAUGUUGAUACCUGGAGGUUCUGUUUUCUUCUGUUUAUAGGUCAGAGUAUAUAUAUAGAGAGAGUUAAGAUUAAAGAUCAGGGUUAGGAUUAGAGGAAUUUAAGGUAAAAGGAUUUUUACAGUUAAGGAUUAUGGUAAAUAAUGGUGGUAAGGCUAGAUGUUGGGUACAAGGAUUAGGGGUUAAAGUUUUUGAUUUACAUUUAGAUUUUGCAUUAGGGAUUAAUGAUUGGUAUAUGGUUAAGAGUAAUGUAAAGUGUGGUUGAAUAUGAGACACUGUUGUGUAUCAUUAGGGUUUGGGUUGGAAUUGGGUAUUGGUUGAGUUUGGGGUAGUGAUAAUAUUAACUGUGGUUAGAGUAGGAUUAAGGAUAGAAUUAGGGUAAUUUAGAGAAUAACAUUAGGAUUAGGGUCAGCAUUGGAAAGUUAGGUGAUUAGUGUUAGCAUUAGAGUAAGAGAUUAGGAUUAAAGGAUUAGGAUUGUGAAGCAGCAACACAUUCUGUCUUCCAAACAAGCCUUCUGUCUUAGGGUUUUAUUGUUGUGAAGAGACACCAUGACCAUGACAACUCUUAAAAAGGAAAACAUUUAAUUAGGGGUGGCUUAUGGUUCAGAGGAUUAGUCCUUUAUUGUCAUGGCAAGAACCAUGGUGACAUGCAGGCAGACAUGGUGCUGGAGAGGUUCUGAGAGUUCUACAUCUAGAUCCACAGACAGCAGAAAGAGACAGACACUAGGCCUGCCUUGAGCUGCUAGACCUUAAAGCCUGACCCCAGUUACACAUUUCCUCCAACAACACCACAGCUACUCCAACAAGGCCACACCUCCCAGUAGUCCCAGUCCCUAUGAGCCUAUGGGGCCAUUUUCAUUCAAACUACCACACCUCCCUAGGUUUAGAGACUUCUAUAUGAAGAAGUGUGUUAGAGAGGUUGGAAAACAAUUCAGAUUAACUGGUAGGUUGUGAAGUGUGUUCUUUUCAGUACUCUAGAUGCUUUCAAUGAAUAAUGUUGCCUUGAAACUUAGUGUCUUAGAAGUAUAUUUUCCUUAGGACUUCUUAAGUCAGUAGCCAUGGUAGGAAGAGGUCUGGAUUAAGGGGGUGUUUCAGAGGCCUAAAACUGUUUUUGCUUCAUAUGAGAUGAAUCUCACUUACCGUGGCAGCAACACCUUGUGCUUUUAAAGCACAUUGUAUAGUGAUUUAAAAAAACCCAUCAGUCUGCCCAUAACAGUGAUAUAUUGUCCCAUCAUGUUCUUUUUCUGUCUCACUACAGUGUUUCUGUCCCACUAAAGUGUCUCUAUUCCCCUGUUCCCCUGUGUUCCAUCAUAAAACUCACCUGUUGUCACAAUAUUCUGUCAUAUAAUAUCCAUCAAGUUAACAUCACCAUGCUCUCAACUCUGCUGUCUUCCAUUGUUCUAUUAUAGUGCUUUAUAGUCCAAUCAUAGCGCUCCCCUAUCCAUCAGUGUCCAGUUUUUCUAUUCUGCACCAGUGUACCAGCUAAAGUGCUCAAUUGUUCUAUCAGUAUUCCACUGUUUCAGCACAAAUGUUCCUCUGCCUCAUCACCUGGUUCUUCUGCAUUAUCUCAAGGGUCCACUGUGCCUCUCGUCUAUACCAUUAUACCAGUACUCCUGGACAGUCCAUAAUUAUAACUGCCCAGUAACAGUGCUAUACUGUGACAUUGUAAUACUUAUCUUUUUGGGUUUUUUGUUUUUAAUCACUGUGCUCUUCUGUGCCAUCACAAUGUACUACUGUGAUAGCUCAGCACUACUCGUUGCAUCAGUCUCCAUUGUUCUAUAACAAUAUAUUGCUGCCCAUCAUGAGUGCUCUUCCAUUCUAUUUCCAUGUUUCAUUUUCUUAUCACAGUGCACCACAAUACCCAUCACAGUAUCUCGCUUUGUUUCUCCCCUUGAAACAUUUCUGAUAUGUAAUCCUAGCUGGUAUGGAAUUUGAUAUGUAGACCAAGCUGGCCUCAAACUCCCUGCCUCCUUAGUGCUAGUAUUAAAGGGGUGAGCCACCACAUCUGGCCCACUGGUUUUUGGUCAGUUCACUCCUGUCCCAUUAUAAUGGUUCAUUGUCCCAUAGCAAUGUUCUACUGACCAACCACUCACAGGAUUUUUAUUUAUUGCCAUACAUUUAGAAGUCUUGUCACAACGUGUCCUCUUCUACCCUAGUGCUCUCUGUCAUGUCACAGUGAGUGCUGCACCAUCAUUAUAGUCCUCCAUUGGCCUGUCAGUGUUUUACUGUUCAGAGUGAUUUUCUUUUUUAUUGCACUACUCAAUAAAUGUGCACCUACCCACGUCAGUUCCAGUUCUCAUCACAAUUCUCUAUUGUAUUGCAUUUCUCAGCUGUCAAGUCUCAAUAUUUCUUUGUCCUAUUAUGUCAGAAUUUCUCUCACCUUUGUACUCAUCACAGUGGUCCAGUGUCCUAUCACAAUGUUAAAUUGAUCUAAAUUAGUCUCUAAAGCUACUCAACAACACUCAGGUUCUAUCCCAAUGUUUCUCUGCCCCAUAUUUUCUUUUGUCCGGUUGCAACGCUCAUGUGAUUCCUUAAAAUCUCUCGUCUCUAUCACAGCUCACCACUCAUUGUAUCCCAUUACAAUGUUCAUCAGUCCAGUCACAAUGUCCUCUUAUCCCAUUAUAGUGUUCUUAUGUUCCACCAAAUUGCUCCAGGAUCCCAUCUCAAUCCUAUAGCAAUGUUCCACUGCCUGAUCACAUUCCUCUACCUAUUAAAAUUCUCCACUGUACCUAUCAUAGUGCUCCACUUGCUAGGACAGUAUUCCAUUCUCCAGACACAAUACUCCUUUCCAUCAUAAUAUAGCACUGGUUUUCCUGGGUAGCAUGGUUACUUAAAAGCCUCAUCACUGAAGCUCAAGAAAAUACACAAACUCCUUUCCUACAAUAGGCAGGGACUGCAAAUAAACUUACUAAGCCUGAGAAGAUCUCUGAAGGGAAGCAGGCAGACACACUGAGAACUGAUACUGGGUCUGCACGAAUCUUGAGUUGGUAACACUAAGCCCUGAGAGAGCAGUAGAAACUUCAUGGGAAGUGAUGCUCUGCAUACAUGGAACUUGCAGGACUGGAAGAGGUCAAAAUGGACUUUUCAGGGAUCUACCAGGAAAGAAUUUCCAAUGUUCCCUCACAUGCCAGAGUCACCUGGAACACAAGCUACAGAGCCCAUUUAUGCCUCCCCUCAUGGCACCAUGUGCAGCUUGCUAGGAAAAGAAAUAUCUGAAAACCACUUUUAACUCAGUGUGACUGUGUCAGCAAUCUCAUCCUAUAAAAAUUUAAAGAUUUUCUUAUGUAACCUCUACUCUAGCAUGUAUGCUCAUAGUAGUGCUUGUUCACACCCAAGGAUUUAAAGGACUCUCUAGGCUUCACCUACAUCCUAUCCCCUUUUAUUUGUAUGUCUUGUCUUAUCUCAUACUUCUCCUCUCCUCUUUUAUACAAAAACCCUAUGUUUGUGUUUUGUCUAUGUGUUUGUCUCUGUACCACAUUUCCAGAGACCAGAAGAGGGCAUCCUGUUCUCUAGAACAGGACUUACAGAUGGUGAUUAGUGGUUAUGUGGGUGUGGGGAACCAAUCUCAGGUCCUCUAGAACCACCUCUACUGCCACCUUUGUACUUUGUUUAUAACCUUCCAGGGCUAUACUUCUGGUCUUCAUGGGCACCUGCUCUCUUGUAGUGCACACGAACUCACACAGGCAUACACACAUAAAAAUCUGUAUAACCUUUCUUAAUUAACUUACAUACUUAUUUAACUUAUACUUAAUUUACAAUAAUAUACUAAGUAUAUACUUAAUUAAAAUAACCGUGCUUAAUUAACUAUGUUAGCUUGUAACAGUAUUCCAAGUUUUCUUUCCCUGCUACUUUUCCCACUUCAUCACCAAUCCUGCUGCUCUCCCAUAUCUAAUUGUAGUUACCAAAAUGUAACGUGGGUUAACCCAGCCUACUGCAUUCCUAGGCAGGUGAUCCUGAGCUGUCUAAUAAGCUAGCCGAGCAUGACAAGAGUGAGCCAGAGAACAAAGCAGCAAUCAGUAUCCCUCCAUGGUUUCUGUUUGAGUUCCUACCCUGACUACCUCAGUGAUGGAUUGUGAUCUAGAAGUGCAAGAUGAAAUAAAUCCUUUUCUUCGAAAGUUGUGUUUGGUCAGUGUUCCUGGAUCAGAAGAAUUACUAUUGUAACAAUGGCUAACAAUACGGACUCAAGGUAAUCACAAUAAAAUUACAAAUGCCUCUUUGCAGAAAUAGAAAAAUAAUCCUAAAAUUAAUAUGGAAGCAUGUGCGCAUACAUACAUACACACACACACAAACCAAACCAAACAAAAAACAAAACCACCACCACCAACAACAAAAAACUGAAUAGCCAAAGCAAUAUUGAACAAUAAUAGUUAUACUGGAGGAUAGAGAUAUAGCUUGCCAGUUAAGAGCACUUGUAGAGAUCCCAAGUCCAGUUCUUAGCACUCACUUGGUGGCUUCUAGCCAACUGUAACACCAUUAUGAGAGAAUGUGACACCUUUUUUCAGCCUCUAGGGGUACCAGGCACAUACACAUACAUACACAUACAUGAAUGCAAAUAAUCUUUUAAAAGGGAUGCUGUUUGAGAUAUUCUCAUGUCUGGUUUUAAGUUAUACUACAGAGCUGUAGUGAUAAGUACAGCAUAAUAUUGGCACAAAAAAAAAAAAAAAAAAAAACCCUAGAUACAUAGAUUCAUGAAAUAGAAUUGAGGACUCAUGUAUAAGCCAAUAAAACUACAACCACCUGUUUGAUUUGCUUUGUUUACAAGAAUGCCCAAAAAUGUACAUUUGGGAAAACAGAAUCUUGAAUACAUGGUUGUGGAUCUGGGGAUUAGGUUGGGAUAAGGGAUAUAGUUAGGAGUUUGGGUUAGGGUUAUUGCACUCCAGAUUAGGACUAGGGUUAUGCUUAUAGUUCAUAUUAGGUGCAGUUGUCAUGCUCAGUAUUACUCUGUCUCAGGGUUUCACCCUGUGAAGAGACACCAUGACAAUGACAACUCUUAUAAAGGAAAACAUUUUGUAACAAGGAACCAAACUGAAGCCAUUUUGCAUAAAACUUCCAUUUUCAAUAGGAGUCAGAGGUGGACAGGAGAUGUCUUGCCCUCUCACUGGUUUCCACUGGGGAACACCUGGUAUAUCCAAUGUGUCUAUUAAUCUGUGAUUUAUAUUUGGAGAAAUGGGCCGGAGAUCAUCUGUUGGUCAUUCACCACAUCUCAAGGAUGUUCAGAAAAAAAUAGCUGAAUUGGGACAACAAAAAUCUCAUAAAUUGGCACUGCCCUUGGAACCCUGCACCUGCAACUAGGAGCCGAUCACUGCUAGUGAAUCCCUGCCUCCUGCCUGACCUGUACAAGCCACUCUUAAAGGAGCUCCUCAGCUUUCUCCUGUAAGGAAGCUGGUGGCUACUCGUGCAACAAAAUCUCUGUGACCAUGAGAAUUUAGUUCAGCAGGUAACAAGGCGCUGCUGCUCCCUUGGAAUUACAGCUGGAGGAAGUAAGGAAAAUUUUGUCUGUUUUAAAUGUAUAAAUUUAUGUGGCACUACAUGUUUGUUUCUGUCUGGUCUUAAAUGUAUGAGUUUCUAAUGUUCUGUAUGUCUUGGUUAUAGACUCUUGGCUUGUGGUUAUGGUUAUAAUUGGCUCGCAUAAGGUUAAAAAUCGAUCACCUGUAACAAAAGUUAACUUAAAACUCAUAACUCAGGGUUAGAGCCAUUCUAGACAGCGGCAUAUGUCAGGAGCCAAUCAAGGAAACAGGUCUACAAAGUUACUUUUACAUUGGGAUAAGAUUUAUGUGUAAUUUCUGUCCUCUCUUGAAAACCAAAUGAGAAGAAGAAGAAGGAGAGGGAGAGGGAAAAGAAGAAGAGAAAGAAAAGAAAAGAAAAGAAAGAAGAGGAGGAGGAAGACAAAAAAGAAGGAGAAGAUGAGGAAGAGGAGGAGGAGGAGGAAUUAAAGCUACACCUCCAUGCAACCAUAUGGAAGAACUCUUGCUGGCAGCCAAAUUUUGUAACAUAAAAGUAACCCACUUAGUACUGAUUUUAUAAACACUGUAUUUACACUGUUAAAACUUAGUUUUGCCUUCUAAAAGUUAUGGUUGUGCUCUGUCUGCCUUUACUCUUAAAAAUGGUAUUUUAUUUUGAUAUUGCAAAAGCACACAAUUGAUAGAUUUUAAACUUCUUUUUUUAAAAAAGAUGUAUGUGUUAUUAUACAUAAGUACACUGUAGCUGUCUUCAGACCCACCAGAAGAGGGUGUCAGAGCUCAUUAUGGGUAGUUGUGAGCCACAAUGUGGUUGCUGGGAUUUGAACUCAGGACCUUUGGAAGAGCAAUCAGUACUCUUACCUACUGAGCCAUCUCACCAACCCAAUUCUAAACUUCUUUAAAGAAAGCUUUAAAAAUUUACAGAAAGUUUAAAAACAAUACUUUUAAAAACGGCUUUUUAAAAUGUUUUAAUUUAUAAAGCUAUGGGACAUUUAAAAGUUUAACAGAUAUUUUAUUGUAAUUGAUGAAUGGAUAAAUAAAAUACUAAGAAUUAGGGCCACAACUGAAUUCCAGAGACUGAAAAAUUCCUGUUUUAUAAUGCAAUGAAACAUUGACCUUGUGCAGUCUGACAAAGAACUUGAAUAUAAAAGGGUUACAGAAUUUUAGAAAAAUUGAGAAUCAGUGUCUUAAAAAUAUGUCUAUUGGUCUAGUCAGCCUAACAGAAGCUGAUUUAAAGAUAUAGUGCUGACCUCCUUGUUUUUACUAGCACUGUUAAGCUAUACCUAUUUUGGUAAGCUGAAUCAUAUAGCAAAACAAACAAACAAACAAAAUAAAAUAAAAUACCCUGUUGUGUUCUAUAAUACCCAUGUAAUGAUCAAAGAAAAAAGUAAGUUUUCAGUCUCUAUGUUUUAAAGUAUUAUCUCAUACUAAAAGAGCUUUAAUUAAGAAAUUGCCAUUUCAUUGUAAAUUGUUAGGGAUAAUUUAAAAAAUGAUCAACUUCUUUACGAUGUUCAGAACGCUAUUUGUAGUCAUGUUAAAUACCUGUGAUUAUGGGCAUUUCUACCUAGGUGCAAGUUCCCUAAAUAGUGACUCUGAGAAUUCUUUUAUAUGAACAAAUGUCUAGGUCAACAGCUUUGUCUUGUUUCCACUAGCUCACAACUCAAUUAUCCUGUUAAAUUACUCUUAUGUUAUGUGGUUGGUUUCCUCUCUGCAGGUUUGAACGUAUGUUUUCAUCAGUGUUCAUGACAAAUCUCCCAUGCCUGACGAUUUCCCAGAAUCCUCUCUCUUUCCCUCCUUCUACUCCUGCCUCAGUUCUUGGCCACAGUCUUUUUAUUUGACAGGUGAUGAUUCCCCAGGGUACAUAAAGAUUCCCUCCACUAACCCCCUUUUUGUCCAAAAGGGGCUCUUUCUCUAACAAUACAAAGCUAUGCAAUAAUAACAAUUAUGAAAGCCAUCAGGUAAGAUUUACAUUCACAGUGUCCACUCCAUAUGUAUUUGUCAACCUUGGAGAAAGUAUUCUACUAUCUUAGUGACUUUCGAGUUCUAUACAUAAAUCAAUUUCUAUUAUAACUGUAUUGCCAAUCUAAAAAUACCCUAGACCUUAGGAACAUUUUCUUAAAUCUUAAACAACUUCUGCUUAAUUGUGAGACUAUAACUAUGUAGUUGUCAACCCCAUCAGAGACCUAAGAAGGAGUAAAUAGUACCUGAAUAUGCAGGAAGUGCAGAGCAAGCAGAGCAAACUACAGAAAAGACAGAAGAGCUGGCUGCCUGGGCAGUCACAAAAGUUUCUCUGUGUUGUAGCAGCAUCCAUCUUUGACCUUCUGGCCCAGAAUAACCUGACCGACUUUUCUUUGAAGCAGGAAUUUUGAAGGACUGUUUAUCUUGUCUUGGCAAAACUCAGCAGUCAACUUCCCUGUAUCUCAUUUGUCCAGCUUGGACAGCAUACUGUCAGCAGUUGACAGGGCAGCUUCUCACCAAGUGACUAGCUUGCCAGUUUUGAAGCAAACUCCUUAUGGAGGUUCUUCUAUGCUCAUCUUCCUGGAUGUACAGUGGGGGUACUGCCAGGAGCAGACCUGCCUCAUUGUCAAAAAGGCUUUUAAUAAUAAAACAUCUUUAAAUGCUGUAGUUUAAAUGCUAUAGUUUCUUUACAUCCCCACGUUUACCCCGACAGUAGAUAGGAGAGAAAGAGAGAGGAAAGAACAAGAAGAAAAGAACCUUCUGAGCCUAACCUUCCCGGUCCGAUACCAGAACGACUAGUAACCACGCCCACUUAAAUGAUGACAAAUGUCCAUCUUCCACUGAGUAGCCAAAACCCAUCCACCCCGCCUCUUGGGAACAAGGGCAUCACUCUCUUAAAAUUACUUCCUGCUGAUUUGGGGCAUCAUUUUCUUUUUGCACACCUCCCCCAAAUUGGGAUAUUGGUCAGCCUUAAGAAAGCUAGCUGUAGCAUUUGCUGUCCAGUCUCUGUAUGCUGAGAAAGAUCAGGGCUUAACGGAAGUCCUGACUGGAGCAGUCUGUAAUAGGUGACAAUAUAGCUAGCUGACUUUGAAACUUUCCCAGAUACAGAUUUUUGAGGGAACAGCAUCAAGUAGGUAUGAAGUAGGAUCAAACAGCAUAAUGGAAUAAAUAUGUCUCAGCAUCUCAGCACUUUAACAGCUCCGACGGUGGAUCGCUUCAGGUCUGCAUUGACUUCACUGGUGUCUGUAAACAUAAAACUCUUAAAGGUGAUAUACAUUUCUACAAUAACAUAUGCAUGGAAUGUGCAGUGUGCACAAUUCAGUUAAAGAUGAUUCUCUGAUUUCUUUUUGAGCAGGUAAGGCAUCUUUCUUUAUAAAUUAGUUUGGAUUGUAUAAUCAAAAUGCAAUAUAAAAUUCUGUCGAUGCCAUUUGGAAGGACAGAGUGAUAAGUCUAGAGGAUUUUGUAGCCAAAAGGAUGUGUUGGCUAUGCACAGCUGAAGUUCUGGCUGGAGACAUUUUCUUGUCUCAGCCAGUCUCAGAGCUGAUCCCAAGUAGAGAGGUCAGGAUAUAUUUUACUUGUUUUGUUACUGAUUUUUUUUUUCCUGUCUGCAGCCAAGAUUUUCAGGAGGUCUCCCUCUUUCAAAUCUGAUUUUUUUUUCAACUUGGAAGAAAUUCAUAGUUUUCCUUUUCCUGUGGAAACAAAUACAAAGCCUCGCCUCCCCUCCCCUCUUCAUAAUACAUUUCCAUCCUUCCAUUUUGAAGUUAAGACAUCCUUACUAUACACAGGCUGAUUUAGUGCAGCUGUUUUUCCAUAAUCCACUAUAUCUCAGCAGCUGUUGUUUUUGGUUCAUUAACAUUUAAAAAAUUUAAACUUAAUAAAGCACUAUGUAAUCUAUCCUGUUACCCAAACUUUUGUUCUAUGAUCAUUUCAUUUAAUAUCCUGUUAGAUCUUCCCAUAACUGCUUGGCCUGUAGGAUUGUAAGCUAUAUUUGUAACAUGUUUUAUACCAUAGUGUCUAAAAAAAAUUGCUGUAUUUUAAGGGAUACAUGUGUUGAAGCAUCAUCAGCUCGAAUAUGUAAAGGAAUUUCCAAGAUAGUUAUCAUCUCUAAUAAAUGUGCAAUCUCAGAACCAUCUUUUUCGGAAUUCAAGGCAAAAUCCCAUUGGAAUUCAGAACAUGUAUCAACUGUAUGAUAUAUCAACACAUAUAUAUUUAAAAUUUUUAACCUCUAUAAAGUGAAGCAUUUAAGUUAUCGAAUGACAUUGCUUUAAGGGAGCAUCAUUAAGCAGAAUCUAGAUUCUUAACCCAGUAUAUUACAGCUCUAUGGGCUGCCAUUCUAAUUCCUUAACCCUGUAUGAAUUCUCCCCAUCUGGAAUUACCUUUUCUGCCGUCACUGUAUGUUCCAGAUUGGAUUCUUUUGAAGAUUUUAAAAUUCUGAUUCAAAGAACCUUCUAAACUCUGUUAUAUGGCCUCUGAUUUAGCAUUCCAUCUUUCAAUCAUUUCUCUGAGUCUGCUUUAUUCUGAUCUUUCUUAAAGAGAAUAUGUACAACUACAAUCAUCAUUUGCAUUCUGAUAAUCAGAACAAAAUUAUACAGGGUCCAAGUGCCCUCUGUCUUUGUGUUUUUCUCCCUUUUUUAAACAUAGAAUAUGUUUUUCUUUUAAUCUCAAACUCUCUCCUUAAGGACUUCAUUUUCUUAGUUUCAAAAUAAUAUUUCUUUCUACAAUUUUUUUAUACUCUGCUGCUCCAGAAAAAUCUUCAGAUUCCUUAGGCUGGCAUGUGUCUAUGGCAGCUAAUUCUGCCUCGUUAGUGCAGUCUAGCAGGACGUCCUUGCCAGUUCUGGGCUGGAGCUGCUCUUCAUAAGGGUCUUGCAUUCUCAAUUCAGUUAAGCUUAUGGCCGUAGAGUCCAAUAUAAUCUCCUUUAUUCUGAAACAAGGAUUUGAAUACUGUACAAAGACAAGUGGUGAAAGGCUGUAAGCAGGAAUCAAACUGAAGCCAUUUUGAAUAAAACUUCCAUUUUAAGUUGAGGUCAAAUAAAGUUUAAACUUCUGAGACCUCCCUGGGUAACUGACAUCCUGCUUGGCAGAAAGGGGCAUGAAUAAUAAUAGUCAAGUUGACCUGCCACAGUUGUAUAACCCAAUGAAUGGGAAUAGGGUAAGUGUAUCACAAAGACACAUUCCUAAGGAAGUCUCCUAUUCCUGCAUCCUGAUUGUUGGGAUAACUUGCCACAGAUGUGUGUGGUUCUGAAGCUUAAGAACUCUGUAGCAUUCUGGCUCUAGGUCACACUUCAGCUCCCAAGCUGUGCCCCUGAUCCAUCAGUACAAUACAUCAGCCCUGAGUACAAUAAAAUAUUCUCAUCUCCUUAAAUACUAAGAUGAAGUUUUGAAGAUACAUGACACUCCUGAGUUUGUGCUGUUGUCCCCAACUGGUCAGUUUUUUGCUGCCUAAUUCAAAUAAAGAGCUUAUUUUUCUGG
ensembl:lincRNA Gm37494 predicted gene, 37494